UGUCCAGCAACUCCUAUCCCUACCUCCUCGCGGUACCGGCCGGAAACUAUGAGCAACCUUAGGGAAGAUCGGGUAACCAACCCCAAUGGGACCUUGGGCGUAGGCUGACAGGGAAGG
rfam:Aedes albopictus isolate Foshan contig80426, whole genome shotgun sequence.